ACAUGGUGUUUAUUGACUUGGAGAAAGCGUAUGAUAAGGUUCCUAGGGAGGUGCUCUGGAGAUGUCUUGAGGCGAAGGGCGUGCCGGUAGCCUACAUACGAGCGAUCAAGGACAUGUAUGAUGGAGCUAAGACUAAGGUUAGGACGGUGGGAGGCGACUCAGAGCAUUUCCCGGUUGUUAUGGGAUUACACCAAGGCUCAGCGCUUAGCCCGUUCUUAUUUGCCUUGGUGAUGGAUGCUUUGACACACCAUAUUCAAGGGGAGGUGCCAUGGUGUAUGUUAUUUGCUGACGACAUAGUUCUAAUUGACGAGACGAGGCCGGUGUUAACGAGAGACUGGAGGUUUGGAGACAGAUUCUCGAGUCUAAGGGUUUCAAAUUGAGUAGGUCUAAGACAGAGUACCUGGAAUGCAAGUUUAGCGAUGAGUUGAGGGAUAUAGGCGGGGACGUGAGGCUUGGGCCACAGGUCAUCCCCAAGAGAGAUAGCUUCAAGUACCUUGGGUCGAUGAUUCAGGGGGACGGAGAGAUCGACGAGGACGUCACUCACCGCAUAGGGGCGGACUGGAUGAAAUGGAGGCUUGCAUCUGGAGUCUUGUGUGACAAGAAAGUGCCACCGAUACUCAAAGGUAAGUAUUAUAGAGCUGUAGUUAGAUCGGCCAUGUUGUAUGGGG
rnacentral:lncRNA from 1 species